AUGAACACGUUUGAUAAUAUUAACAACAUAAACAAUUUUGGAAAUACUAACAAUGUUACUGGUUUGAACAAUGUUACUGGUUUGAACAAUGCUACCGGUUUGAACAAUGCUACCGGUUUUAACGAUGUUACCGGUUUGAACAAUGCCACCGGUUUGAACAAUGCUACUGGUUUGAAAAAUAUAAAUUACACAAGUAAUCGAACAGACGUACAUAAUUUAUUAGAUAUAGGUACAUUAAAUAGAAACAAUAAUAUGACACAAAAAAAAGUCGAAUUUGGUGAUGAUAUAAAUAAUGAUUUAUUACUUUAUAAAAAAGGUCUUGGUGGGGGUAGUAUUAUACCUCCAUUAACUGAUCACCAAAUGUUCAACACCAAUCAAACUAUGAUAAAUAACAUUGCUACAAAUAGUAGUGGUACAAUUAGUGGUGGUACAAUUAGUGGUGGUACAAUUAGUNNNNNNNNNNGUGGUACAAUUAGUGGUGGUACAAAUAAUAAUGUUAUGAGUUCGGACAGUUAUGCACACAUACUGAAGCAAUUAUGUACACCCAUAAAAAGUAGAUCCCAAAGUAAUCAAAUAAAUGAACGAUUAAAUGAAAAUUUAUUUAUAGAGGAAGAUGAAAAUGAAAAUAAUAAAAAUGAUGGUACUACAUUUAUUAAUAAAAGAGGUAAGUUGAGUGGUAAUAUUGGUACAACUGGUAUUGCUAGUAAUAAUGACGAAAUUGUUGAAUCGGCUGGAGCUAUUAAUACAAUAAAUACUGGUUGUGCUUUUACUACAGGUACUACUAAUAUAGACAAACUAUCUCAUAAAACAAACAAAAAUUUAACAAAUGGUACCCUAGUAAAUGCCAACUUAAACAAUAAUAUAUAUAAUUUAAAUACAAAUAUAUAUAAUAACCCAUUUAAUAAUAAUAACCACCCAUUUAAUAAUAAUAAUAACCUAUUUAAUAAUAAUAACCCAUUUAAUAAUAACCCAUUUAAUAAUAACACAUUUAAUAAUAACCCAUUUAAUAAUAAUAAUACAAAUUCUGUUAAAGACACAUGUAGUGUUCAUACUAAUAGCAGUAGUAGCAACAACAGCAAUAUAUAUGAAUUAAAAAAAUUAAAUAUGUUUGUUGAUAACAAAAUAAAAGAAGAAAAUAAAAUGGAAAAUAAAACAAAUAAAAUAAAAAAAAAUAAAGUAAAAGUUUAUUUUUAUAUUAAUCCUGCAUAUAUUAUAGAACCAUUAAAACGUAAAAUCUAUCAAAAUAUGUCCAUUUUUAUAGAAAAUUUAAUUAGUGACAUAAAAGCAAUUGAAAAUAAAAAUAGAGCAGAAAUUUUAUCAAAUUUGCAUAAUACACCAUGGUUUUGUAUGAUAUUUGACUUUGAUGGUAUAAGUAAAUUAUUAAACGUUUUUAAUAAAUAUUUAAUUUAUUCUGACUCGUUAAUAAUACCUGAUAGUUUAAUAGCGAAUAAAUUAGAAGAAAAUUACCAUAAUAACAUUACUAAUAACAAUGAAACAGAAAAAAAUAAUAAUAACAAUUAUAACAAUUAUAACAAUUAUAACAAUUAUAAUAAUAAUAAUAACGAAACAAAUGACAUAGGGUGCCUAAAUAGUGGUGAGGUAAAAGAGACAGAUGAUCCUAAUAUGGAUAAAACUAAUACAAUCAUAAAUAAUAACAGAAGUAAUGCUAAUAGAAAGGGUAAAGAUAUGUAUAUACAAACAAUUAAUUAUUUUUUUAAAAAAAGUGAUAAAAUUGAUUUAUUAAAUAAAAAAAUAUUUGAUUAUGAAAAUAGUAUUAUUGAAAAUGCAGAAAAACUAAAUUAUUUAAAAGAAUUAUGUAAUGGUCUAAAUGAACGAAUUAAUAUGAAAAAAAAAAAUUUAUUUUACUAUUAG
rnacentral:lncRNA from 1 species